rnacentral:lncRNA from 1 species
ACACUGGUUCUGUAUUGUUAGAAUUUUGACCAGUUAGAAUACCGGCUCCACCUCUCCCCACACCUAUUCACCCUGUGUGUGACAGUCUGUUAAUCCUUCCAAAAGCCACGCAGUUUAGGUUCCCCUGUGCUUGGAAAUACUUAAUGGCCUCCGUGGUGGCUCCAUAGAAAAAGCCCAAACAUUGAAAUUUUGCUGUAAGGUCCUUUAGGAUCGGGCCCUAAGUUCCUUAUUCAACUUUAUCUGUCUCUUUACAACCACUAGGAACCUUCGAUCUUGGUUACAUUCGUUGAUCCUUUGUAGCUCGCUGCAAGGAUCACAUUGUAAACCUCCAAGUCGGUGGAAAUCGUUAUUUUUAUAAUGUGAGACCACAGAGAACGAGGUUAAGGAUAAACACCAAUGGACGUGUAGAAGUAACAAACCUAUUUCAAGAUUUAAUGGCUGUUUCUAACUCCACACAUACCAGCACAAUCUUUCUGAGUAACUCCUUGGUCGCAAAAGAGGGAUGUGACCCAAUCCAUCUUACCUGGAAGCCAAAGUUCACACCGUGUAGGAACUUCUGUUUCAGAUGCACUCCAGACCCUCCACCACUGAGCCUAAUUCUGGAGAAGUCAUCAUGCUACUCAGGGUGCAUUUCCCUAGCUGAUGCUAUGAGGAUCUUCUCUGAGAGAUUCCACAGGCUUCCAGUAAGUUUUCUUUUCUUUCUUUCUUUUCAGUUUUCUUUUCUAAGUUUCUUUUCGGCAUGCUAUUUCUACACCCAUUUUACUGCAACCACAGGGGGUCUUUCUGCCUGUGGCCUUGCUGAUGACCCUGGGACACUUGGAGCCCCUCCCAGAUCUCUCGUUACUCUUUAGGUCAGCUUGCAAGGCUCCACGGCCACCUGCGAGGGCAACUGAUGGGACCCUGGUUCCCUGCUGCCGGCUCCCAUUCUCACCACUAGCUCUUUGCUCCUGUCAUUUCAUUGUCCUGCAAGAUUUCCCAGCCUCCACCUCCACCUUCAGCUGCUAACUCCCACUAAUCCUUCCAGCUCAAUUCCAUACCACCCCCCCCAAAACCUUUCAUAGGACCGCAUUUUGCUCUUGUCAGAGCACAGUCCACAUUUUAUUGUAAUUUCCUCUCUCCUUUUCAAUUUCUCUGUUCCUUGAGGACAAGGGCUACGUGGAGCGUAUUCACUGGUGUAGUCUCCGUGACCAGAGUUUUGGUUUCAUGGAGGAGCCCCAAAAGAUGGCAUAGCCUGCCAAAUGCAUUGAUGUAUACAGGGCCCUAGAACAUCACCUUGGGGAAGGACGUCUUGGUGAAGAGUCAGUAGGCCUGAGUAGCAAGGAUGUAAUGAAAUCCCCAUAUACCUGCCCGCAAAGUGGAUAUCGGAUUUUCACUCAUAUUCUCUUCUGAAUUUGAAGCUUGGGAGCCACAUAGCAUUUUUCUUAGCUUCAGGAUUAUUGCAGGUGCUCAGGGAGAUAGUGUCUGGGGCCUGAAGAUGAGAGACUGGA